rnacentral:rRNA from 1 species
CAUACCCCAGUUCAGGCGUGGCUACCCGCUGAGUUUAAGCAUAUCAAUAAGCGG